rnacentral:rRNA from 1 species
CCUACGGGAGGCAGCAGUGGGGAAUAUUGGACAAUGGGCGAAAGCCUGAUCCAGCAAUGCCGCGUGAGUGAUGAAGGCCUUAGGGUUGUAAAGCUCUUUUACCCGGGAUGAUAAUGACAGUACCGGGAGAAUAAGCUCCGGCUAACUCCGUGCCAGCAGCCGCGGUAAUACGGAGGGAGCUAGCGUUGUUCGGAAUUACUGGGCGUAAAGCGCACGUAGGCGGCUACUCAAGUCAGAGGUGAAAGCCCAGGGCUCAACCCUGGAACUGCCUUUGAAACUAGGUAGCUAGAAUCUUGGAGAGGUCAGUGGAAUUCCGAGUGUAGAGGUGAAAUUCGUAGAUAUUCGGAAGAACACCAGUGGCGAAGGCGACUGACUGGACAAGUAUUGACGCUGAGGCGCGAAAGCGUGGGGAGCAAACAGGAUUAGAUACCCUGGUAGUCCACGCCGUAAACGAUGAUAACUAGCUGUUCGGGUACUUGGUAUCUGAGUGGCGCAGCUACGACAUUAAGUUAUCCGUCCGUCGGGUAGGUACGGUCGCGAAGAAUUAAACUAACAAAGAAAGUAGACGGCGUAGAGACGUAGCGAACGGACGACGACGAGGGAGGAGG